rnacentral:misc_RNA from 1 species
CGUAGAUAUAGCGGAACAGAUGUUGAAUUUCUCUUUUUUUUUAGCGUUAUCUCUCCUCUUCCAAACGCCUCCCCAACCCCUCACACACUCUCGUUCAAAUUACACAAAAAUGCUUAAUCAUUUGUUAAACAGUUACAAACAAUGAAUCAUUUAUUAUUUUUGCCAUUAGUUUAAAAAGUUGACUAACGGUAAAGUUAAAAGUUUAGAUGCCGAUUUAGGAAAAUUUACAUGAAUAUCAAUAGAAACCUAAAUAUAUAGUGUAUUGUGUAUAUUAUAGCUUUCUGUCGGAUAGAUACACGUUCUUUUCACUUGAUAUAUAUUAAAUAUUGGAUAACGGAAAGGUGGAGAGAGAGAAGAGAGAAAGAUAUAAUCGUUUGAAUAGUGAUUUUUCUUUAUUGUGAUAAAAGGAUAGAUGGAUUGGAUACUCUCGUUUUUUAAAAAAAUCGAUUCGAUUGAAGUUGAUCAAGAAUCAAUAGCUAAGGAGAAAGUGACUGAAUUAAAGUCUAAUAAUGAAUCUAAACAACUCGAUAUUCGACUAAUGACAAAAGACGAUUGUAGAAGAAUAACAGAAAUCCUUUUUCAUGGCUUUUACCAGUUUAUUCAAUAUUUAAUUGGCAAAGAUGAAGAUGUGGCGAUCUUAAAUAUAGUCAGGUUAUUGAUAGAAUAUAAUUUCCGGCGUUACCAAGAUACCUAUGUGGCAGAAGUUAACUCUGAAGUUGAGGGAGUUUGUAGACUGACUUUUAGCGACUCAAUUGAUAGGAAAAUGCCGGGCUUACCUGGAAUGAUUGUUGAUGAUUUCUCACCGAAAUCUAUUCUUAGAACUUUAUGCUCUGGCUCUAUGGCUAAUAAUCUCAUGAAAAUUGAGGAAGGAGAUUGCCUCAUUCAAUUCUUAGCGGUUGGCGAAAAUUGCAGAGGGAAAGGCAUUGGUAAACUCCUUUUGGAGCAUUCCUACUAUCAGGCAGAGAAAAGAGGGUGUAAGAGAAUAUGGCUUCUCGUUUCGCUAUCCAAUCCUCAAUUUAAAAAUUUAUGCGAACAACUCGGUUAUGUAUCAACAAAGGUGAUCAGGGUUCGACCAUUGUUCGCCUUUGGCUCAGAGGGUUACUACAAAAUGGUGAAAAGUAUCUAAAAACUAGGUUAACAUUCUUUUCUAGCCAGCCACUGGCUCGCUUUUCUCUUUUUAUCUUCUUUCCUCUCUCUCUCCCUCUCUCUCUUACCUACUCUCUUUCUCUCUUCCCCAAAGGAAGAAAAAUAUUUUUAUCCAUUGGGAGAUGGAUAAAAGAUAGAUUUAAUUUACAGAAAUAGCUGGAAAAUCUGUGAUAGAUACCAUUUGGUUUUAAUUAUUGAUAAAUAAAUUUUCUUAACAGAAUUUCACCUAAUUCUUUUACUCUUUCGCCAGAUUGAAUCACGUGAUCAGUACAACAUCAGGCAUGAUACUUUUUAAUUAGUUGAUAAUAAAAUAAAAUACUUAUCUAUUAAUUUAUUUGAAUUGUUCGCACAAAAAUAUAACAAAAAAGGCGUAUUGAUUUCUUUUAUACAUCUGUCCCACUUUUAUAAAAAAGGUAACAAUUUUAAGUUUAUUAAGUAAAUGGGAAAUAGGUAAUGUUACUUUAUGCUAUACGGUAGGCUUUAUGGUAAUCACUAUCCUCAUUGAAGAUGAGUACUGUUGAGUACUUUUAAUUCUAGCAAAUCUAUUUAAACCUAUCCUACUUAAUUUCUUUGUUUUUCAUCCUCGAAACAAUUAUCAUUUUAGAUGUUAAAUAAUAAUCAAUUUUCAUUAUACUUUUAACGAUAGGUCGAGAUGACACGAUCGAGCAGGAAGGAGAGAGAAAGAGAAAUAUACCUAAACAUUGAUAGAUAAAUUGUUAUAUACUAUUAUGUAUAUUUAUAGAAGCAUAAACAUAAUAUAGGAUGAUUAAAUAUUUAUUCUUUACUGACCCGUUUGCUAGAAUUUUUAACCUGUAAGUGGACAAAGAGGGAUCUUUGAAGGCUAAAAGUAAUCGCCUCACUAAAUUUGUUAGCAUUGAUUUAGUUGUCGAGUCCCUUAUUAGGUUGUAUAAGGCAGGUCUCCAGAGUGUAAACAUUAAAUAGAUAUAUGAAUAUUCAGAAAGAAUCACGU